UACGUAGGGGGCAAGCGUUGUCCGGAAUCAUUGGGCGUAAAGAGCGCGUAGGCGGCCCUGUAAGUCCGCUGUGAAAGUCAAGGGCUCAACCCUUGAAUGCCGGUGGAUACUGCAGGGCUAGAGUCCGGAAGAGGCGAGUGGAAUUCCUGGUGUAGCGGUGAAAUGCGCAGAUAUCAGGAGGAACACCGGUGGCGAAGGCGGAUCUCUGGGCCUGUUCUGACGCUGAGGCGCGAAAGCUAGGGGAGCGAACAGG
rnacentral:rRNA from 1 species